GUGUAAAUACAGAAGCUGAGCAGUGUAUUUAUUGUGCAAGUUGGUGUCUGAUGUUAAGAAAAAACAAGGGUACCUUGAGGCCCUGGUGUUGUCUUUGUAAAAUAGUCCAAAGACUAAAAAGGCGGCUUUUAGAAAACCCCAAGCAAGUCGAACCCUCUGAUCCCCUCCUAGAAUGUGCUGCAGCUGAUGAUGGAACUCUGCCAGAAGGGAAGAGGAUACACAUUCGUGGCGUUCCUACUGUUUGCUAGGAGCUAUGCAUCCAUUCAGUAAUUGGCAAUGAGUCAGUUUCCUGCUUUGGAGGAAAUGCAGCUUUUCUCUUUCCACUCCAAAAAUGUGUCCAGUGUCGCCCUCGCCUCUCAGACUAAAAUAUGACAGCAUGAGAGCUGAUACCGAAGGAGCUAA